rnacentral:misc_RNA from 1 species
AAGUACAAGAAACAAGAGAUGAUAACAAAAAUCGAAGACCAAGAAACUACUAAGUAUGAAAGGGUAGUAUGCAUUCCUUUAGUGUCAAAAAGUGAACAUAUAGUGAGCUGUGAGCAAAACUCAAAGUUACAAACACAUUCAGGACCUACAGAAAGUAUAGAUUCAAUACAUUAGCCAAAAACAACUGUACAAUCAGCCAGCUGAUACUGCAAAUGUGCAG